rnacentral:lncRNA from 1 species
CAUGGUCUGUGGAGUGAAUAGAUACACAAUUGUAACCAGAGAGAGUUUCACCGCCACUGUCAUUAAUAACAGGAAGGAACAAUCAUUGCUGCUAUUGAGACAAGCAACUGCUCAGGGUCAGAAAGCAAAAGGAACUAAUAGCACCCUUUGGAGUUGCUAAUUGGCAAAAAUCUGCAACCACAGGCCUUCAAGGUAAUUGGAGCUCAACAUCCUUCAGAAAUUGCUUAAGCACUAUUAAGGACGAGCAUGUCAAAAGGGAUGAUGUGAUGAAAAGAGCAAAGACUUUGAUGACAAGACCCACACUUCUGCCCUUGCUCCUUUGCUAAUGGACAUUCAGUUCUGACAAGUCAUUUAACCUUCAAGCUUGUCUAGAAACGAUCACAAUAUUGGUGAUCUUUUUAACUUUCUUAUAUGAUAAUAUAGCUCUAUAAAUAUAACUACUUGUGAAUUAAUUUUUGACUUCUAAUAAACUUAUUUUUUUGCUCA